GAAGUUUUGCAAAAAUGAGACGAGUUCCUUCUUGCAUCUUGUCUGUGGUCUCAUUCGAGCAUCACUGAGCAGUGCCGGGUGGAUGGCGCCACGUCCACACGCAUCUCACAGCUAAGAAAAUUGAGCCCCAGGAAGGGAGGGAGUGCUUGGCCAGCCGCUUGCUGACCUGACCCAUCAGGCAGAGAAGCUGGGGGUCAGAGCCCUGUUCCUCUUCUCAUCCAGAGACAAGCCCCAUGGUCUGGUGGGGAGGAUGUGUGUUCUGGGGCCAGGGCACCACCAUGUGAAGGAGAACAGCUCAUGCCCCCUCUUGCAUCUCCUGUGCGCACUCUCCGUGCCAGCACCGCUUCCCUGUCAGGGCAUUGUGCAGUUCCAUCUGGUUCUGACACCGUCUCCCCUCAGAUCACGCCGGGCCCCACAGGUUAAUGGCUCCGUCCCCCAAGACUGCCCCCUCCGCCUUCAAAUGCCAGUCGUGAGUCCUGGUUGUCACCUGUGCCUCUGUCCAACAGGCUGUAAAUCGGAGGGUCCCGUGACCUCCUUGGGCCCAUUAAUUUGCUCAAGUGGCUCACAGAACUCAGAGAAACUUUACUUACUAGGUGACCAACCAGUUUACAGUGAAAGGUGCAACUCAGGAAGAGCCAGAUGGAAGAGAGGCGAGGGGCGCGUCCGGUGGCCGGGCGCAGCGCUUCCGCGCCCGCUCUCCCGUGUUCGCCCACCUGGAAACUCUCUGAGCCCCGUGCUUUUGGUUUUUAUGGAGGUUUCAUUACAUAGGCCAUUGGUGGUUGAACCCAGUCUCUGGGCAAUCAUGCCUUCCGCGAAGGUGGAGGAGGCGGAGACAGAGAGCUCCAGCCCACUGGUCGGAAGUCACUGCAGUAACAUCAGCCCAGGGUGGUUGAAAGAGCCUGUUCAGGGUAGCAGGUUACACUCGCUUCACCUCUGUGCUCUGAGGCUGUCAGGAAUUAAGGAUAUAACUAACUGACAAAAGAUGUCUCUGUGGCUCUUAGGAAAUUUCAAGGGUUUUGGGAGCUGUGUUCCAAGAACAGUGUACAAA
rnacentral:lncRNA from 1 species